rnacentral:rRNA from 1 species
GGGUUAAGUCCCGCAACGAGCGCAACCCUUGUCGUCUGUUGCCAGCGGGUAAUGCCGGGGACUCUGACGAAACUGCCAGUGUUCAACUGNGGAGAGGGGAUGAGUCAAGUCAUCAUGGCCUUACGGUAGGGCUUCAAACAUCAUACAAUGGCCGGUACAGAGGGCUGCGAACUCGCGAGGGGGAGCUAAUCUCACAAAACCGGUCUUAGUCAGGAUUGCAGUCUGCAACUCGACUGCAUGAAUCAGGAAUCGCUAGUAAUCGCAGAUCAGCAUGCUGCGGUGAAUACGUUCUCGGGUCUC